UACGGAGGGUGCAAGCGUUAUCCGGAUUUAUUGGGUUUAAAGGGUCCGUAGGCUGAUGUGUAAGUCAGUGGUGAAAUCUCACAGCUUAACUGUGAAACUGCCAUUGAUACUGCAUGUCUUGAGUAUAUUUGAAGUAGCUGGAAUAAGUAGUGUAGCGGUGAAAUGCAUAGAUAUUACUUAGAACACCAAUUGCGAAGGCAGGUUACUAAACUAUAACUGACGCUGAUGGACGAAAGCGUGGGGAGCGAACAGG
rnacentral:rRNA from 1 species